rnacentral:rRNA from 1 species
GAGAGGGUGACCGGCCACACUGGGACUGAGACACGGCCCAGACUCCUACGGGAGGCAGCAGUGGGGAAUAUUGCACAAUGGGCGAAAGCCUGAUGCAGCAACGCCGCGCGAGGGACGACGGCCUUCGGGUUGUAAACCUCUUUUAGCAAGGAAGAAGCGAAAGUGACGGUACUUGCAGAAAAAGCGCCGACUAACUACGUGCCAGCAGCCGCGGUAAUACGUAGGGCGCAAGCGUUAUCCGGAAUUAUUGGGCGUAAAGAGCUCGUAGGCGGUUUGUCGCGUCUGCUGUGAAAACCCGAGGCUCAACCUCGGGCCUGCAGUGGGUACGGGCAGACUAGAGUGCGGUAGGGGAGAUUGGAACUCCUGGUGUAGCGGUGGAAUGCGCAGAUAUCAGGAAGAACACCGAUGGCGAAGGCAGAUCUCUGGGCCGUAACUGACGCUGAGGAGCGAAAGGGUGGGGAGCAAACAGGCUUAGACACCCUGGUAGUCCACCCCGUAAACGUUGGGAACUAGUUGUGGGGUCCAUUCCACGGAUUCCGUGACGCAGCUAACGCAUUAAGUUCCCCGCCUGGGGAGUACGG